rnacentral:tRNA from 1 species
GCCUUCAUGGUGUAACGGUAGCACACUCGGCGCGUUUCAAGAGGUCCAGGUUAGAAUCCCGGCGAGGGCA